rnacentral:rRNA from 1 species
CACGUAGGGUGCGAGCGUUGUCCGGAAUUAUUGGGCGUAAAGAGCUCGUAGGCGGUGUGUCGCGUCGGCCGUGAAAACCUGCAGCUUAACUGUGGGCGUGCGGUCGAUACGGGCAUCACUGGAGUUCGGCAGGGAGACUGGAAUUCCUGGUGUAGCGGUGAAAUGCGCAGAUAUCAGGAGGAACACCGGUGGCGAAGACGGGUCUCUGGGCCGAUACUGACGCUGAGGAGCGAAAGCGUGGGGAGCGAACAGG